GGAGAGGUAGCGAAGUCCGGCCGUAACGCACACGACUCGAAAUCGUGCUUAGGUUUAACCGCCUAACGAGGGUUCGAAUCCCUCUCUCUCCGCCA
rnacentral:tRNA from 1 species